rnacentral:rRNA from 1 species
UACGUAGGGUGCGAGCGUUAAUCGGAAUUACUGGGCGUAAAGCGUGUGCAGGUGGCCUGUUAAGUGGUGUAUGAAAUCGCCCGGCUCAACCGGGCGGGGUUAUGCCAGACUGGCAGGCUAGAGGGUGGGAGAGGGAUGUGGAAUUCCGGGUGUAGUGGUGAAAUGCGUAGAGAUCCGGAGGAACCCCAGAGGCGAAGGCGGCAUCCUGGCCCACGACUGACACUCAGACACGACAGCAUGGGGAGCGAACGGG